CACCAAAAAAACUUACUGGAUUCUUGCUUUUUUUCCCCCCCUCCACUGGUCUCUCCUUUUGCAAAUGCCCUUUAGAAGCCAUAAAAAAUGAGCGUAUACGAGUGACCCCCACUAAACAGCAAAUCUGUUUGAAGACAAAUCAUUUGUGUACUUUCAAGAUGAUCCAAUGAUUUACUAAUUGACUUUUCAUCAAGACACCUCCACUCACUACAGACAAGCUUAAUUCAAAAUCAAACAUGUCAUAAUAAAUAAAUAAGAUGGAAAAAGAAGCCGUGAUUCAAAUUUGGUCAUGAAAAUCCAAUAUCCUUUCAUCAAAGAGGAAUUGGAAUCAAUUCUGCAAUCAAGAGCCGUGGGACUGCGGCCAUGUGGUAGACGGAUGACGUCAUUCCAAUUUGACCUCGCGAUUGUCUGCGAGGAUUUCAACAUGUGAUAUGCUCAUGUUUGUCCUUAUAACAAGUUGGUUCUCCUUAUAUAAACCACAGUGACGCAGAGCGUGAUGCUUUCACAUUGCGGUACAUCUCAUGAGCAUGACCGAAACCUCACAACUGGAAGCGUCAAAGAUCAUGUCCAGGUGUGGAAUUUCCUCUUGUCGCUUGUGCUGCUUAGCGACGCAGUGAUGCCCAUCCCGCCCAUAUACGCCAUAGUGGAAAUACAAGCCUACUCAGGAUUUACCGGUCUUGGUCCAACAGUGGUGAUCCAAACUGAAAUCUCCAACCUUGGUGGAAAGGUGGGUUGAAUCGAGCAACCGCAUGCUGGUCAUGGGGUCAUUCAUUUAAAUUUGUGCAAAAUUGAAGUCAGUUGCUCAUUGUUAGAACAUCUGUUUGGGCCGAGGCAAUGGAGAAAAUGACAGGAUAUUUUUAGGGGCAGCGGGGAAGAAUGUGGCCAGGAUGAGAACCCGAGUUUUUUUCCUUUGUUCGUUACAAAGGGUCCAAUGCAGACAACAUGCCCCCGCCCCCAAAAAAAUAAAAUCAUGCUGCUUUCUUAAACUAUGCAGCCAGCAUUCCUUAAAGCCUCAUGUUUGCAGGAAACAGGAAACUGCUGAGUUUCUCCCGACAACACAGCACGAAAAUAUCGGUCAGCUGGGAGGGGGUUGGUGGAAAUCCUGCCGUGUGGCAGGUAGACACACUGACCUCUUGUACCCGUGUAAUAUUUUGAUUUAGGACGAGACCCAGACUCAGGCAAGGGCGGGAAAACCCCAUCUCCACCCCGCUACCUCAUCCCGGCCACAUCGGAGUACUGUGCACUCUUUGUCGCGGCACGAGCCAAAACGUUAAACCUCUGGAAGAGCCGCAGUAUAUAUAAUCUCUUUCUGUUACUCCUUUUUCCUGUGUGGAAAUUGUGAUAAUUUAAAAAAAAAAAAAAAAAAAAGUCCAACACUAAUCACAGCUUCACACGUGUACCGAAAAAAAAAUAGAGGGCAAGCAUGAAUAAGGGUUUGUAAAUGACAGUAAAUCUGUGCUGCCAGGUGUCGCCACUUUUCUUUUUUUUUUUUUUUAGGGUGGGCAAAAAAAAAAAAAAAAAGCCAGACAAGCACCUCACUGUAUCAGAGGUACCCCCGGCAGACCACAAAAGCGGUCCGGACAAAACCUCAAACCAGCUGUAAAAUAUCCCAUUAGGCACUUUGUCUUUAGGAAAUAUUGACCCCGUUCUUCCUCGGUGAUGCCAACCAUUUUUGAAGAGGUCCAAUAUACUGUCAAGACGGCCUUUUGUGAGGCACUUAGCAGGGGGACACAGAAGGCCCCGCCUGUUGUUUUAUGAAGACAUGACUUAUAAUGAGGUUGUCAGGGUUGAAGACUCCUUUCGGAAUAUAGCAGAUGACAUGACAUAACCAGAGCACAGUAAUGAGGCAUGUAUGCAGUACACCGUGUACUCGCUAACCACAAGACACCACAAGAAGCUCAUGGGAAAGCCGGUUUUCAUCUUUACAAAUAGUUAUGCCCUCCGAAGAGCCGCGCAGUUUUUGCAAGAUCACAACAAAAACUUCAAGGGCAGAUGUUCUUUCAAGAUGAAUAUAAACCUGAGAUGAUGUCUUGUCUAAUAUGUACACGAAAGGAUGUGUUGAACGGGAGCCGCUGACACCGGGAGACCAGGCCAAUGCUGUCUGGUAACCUUGGACCCCCCCCCCCCCCAAAAAAAAAAAACUCCCACACACCAACACAUACCCAAUAACCAUUUGCUGCCUUCGAACUAAAUCACGAAAUGCACUUGGUGGACCUCCACAAACCUUUUUCUGAGAAACUCCGGAGGCUCUGCCAGUUGACAUGCAGCCAGACAGCACAGGCAAAGUCUUCUUCAGAUCAUCCUCAGGGAGCACACAAGUGGCACACUGUGGAGGAAGUGAGAGUCAACAUACAGAGCUCGAUAUGAUGUGCCCCGGGGACCUUUUGUACUCUGAGAUAGCCCUGUAGUGUCUGGCAUUGACAUCCAGUUCCGGAGCAGAUUGCCCACUUCACGUUGUUUGUAAUCGGAGGGACUUCUCAAAGCACAGUCUGACCAAUUUGACCGUCGACGCGGCUGUCAUGCCAAGGUCAGUGUGAAAAGCAUGAAAAGUCACAAGGAGAUUCAAUUUGUUAUCGCUGUGUUCUCUUAUUUGGCAGGUGGUCAGUGCUGUAACCUCUGGCUUAUUUCCAGGGAUUGAUUUCCAUGUCUGCACGCACAAAAAUUCAGAAAAACACCACUACUGUCGAGGUCAUGAAUGGAAAACUUAAAUGAUUGAUUGGGCACAAUUUCAUCAGCGCUACUGUGUGUGCGUGUGUGUGUGUGUGUGUGUGUGUGUGUGUGUGUGUGUGUGUGUGUUGAGGGAUGGUGGGGCAAAAAGAACAGCACACUUCCUAACCAGAUGUAUGACAAAAAAUCAAUUUUAAAUACGGACAAAAUAUGUGCUUUUUUAUCCGACCGAUAUAGACCACAAUAUCGCAAUACAUUUUAUGCUCAAUGCAUGUGCAUAGAAGUGCCUUCAACAACAAAGCGUUUGAAAAAUCAAAAAAUAACCACAUACUGCGAUCUUUCUUUUCCCAGUGCAAAGGGCUCUCAUCCUUAAAAAUGCCCAUUCAAGGAUGUCACAAAACUACUCAACAGCAAACCAACAUUAACGUGCAAGAACAUUUUUUUGACAAAAAUAAACUCACACAACAUUUUAAGUCUAUUUCGGUACCAUGUUUGCCCUGCACGUCAUUGCAAAUCUGGUAAAAAUAUUUAGCUUACUUUACUCACAUUGGUGCAAGUGCAACAAAGAUGUGUCUGCCAUCUCGUGGUAAAUGGUGGUAUUACAACUUAAAACUAUGCAGUGGACCCCAACUAUUGGUGGGCAUAGAUACCCACCAAUAGUGGGCUGACACACGAGUUACGUAUUUUAACCCGAAAAAUUAUUAAAAGAAAAAAAAAAUGCCGAUAAGCCUCUAUUGGAAAGUUCCCACAAAAAACAAUCUGUGAAUUGGCAAGUCCAUGGAUACCGAACCAUGAGUAUGCGGGAAUCCACUGUAGUAGAGGAAACAGUUCUAACACCCCCCGUCCCAAUUUUAGUUUUGAUCGAAAAAUUUAUUUAUGUAUGUAUUUAUUUGUUUCAUAAUCAAAGGCCCAUUCAGGGCCAUCAGUUGUCCAUUACUGGUUUUGGUUGAAUGACACCGUGAUGAUUAAACGGGACUGAAAGUAACAUGGAGUUCAUAUCUGUUGGUUGUCUGCUAGCUGACGAACUAUGGAUGAUGACAAAUAGAAUCCAUUACCCCAGUUCGUCAAGCACAUACCACCAACUCAUACAACUUUCACAGCAGGGCCACGGAGGGCCAGGGGUCACCAAAUAAAUACUUUGGAACUUCUGAAAAGUCAGGUCAAUACACAAGGCAGAAAGCAGUUCUUUCCACUCAAACGUCUACCCACACACUAAAAACCUGAACAAACACUGUCAACACGCCAAAGAUGUAGGCAGAAUGUGCUACACCUCUGAUGCAAAAGGCUCAGACUGCCAAUGUUUCUCUAGCUUUUGAAAACAUUCUGAGUUCUUCAGAACAAAUACAUCUACACUAACCCUUGCUUGUUGCGUAACUUUAAAAUAUAAAUGCACUUUUUAGGCUGUUUUGAACAUUGUUUCAUUUUAUACAAUUUCGUACAUGUGUUUGGGAGAUUUCUUGAUGGUCUGAUGAAACCAAAGUUGAAUAUUUUGGCCAUAAUUCCAAAAGCUGUUUGGCGCAAACACAAAACUCUUCAAUACCUGCUGACAACGACACAUGGUGAUGGCAGCAUCAUGCUUUCGGGGCUGUUUUUCUUCUUACCUUCUCCAAGGUGGAGAGAAUUAUGAAUAGUUCAUUAUCACUGUGAAUGCUAGCGCAAAACUUUGUGAUUAAACGUUAUUGUGACAAAGGCCCACGUCUCAAACUGUAGCAAUAAAAAAAAUAAUUCUGUUUUUUUCAUCACAGUUAUUGCUAGCGCAAUGCUAGCGCCAAACCAUCAGGCUUCUAGUGGAAAGCAAAAUGUCAGGAAUAGCCGACAAGCGCAUUUCAAUUUGGGGUUAAUCAGAGGCACUUUAAAGUGGGGGUGGAUGUGUGCUGAAAGGGCCUUGUAGACUUUUUAUACCCACCGUAAGGAAAACCGACAUAAAGCUUUUCAGAAAACAAGCUUCCACUACCAUUAGCAACUUUCACUUCAAGCGUAUCAAUCCGGCUACAAAAUAAUUAUUGUCACAAAGGCCCACAUCACAAACUGUAGCAAUAAAACCCACAAUCUGUUUUUAUACUUUUCUUCAAUGGAAAAAUGUAGCGCAUGCUGCAUCAUCAAGCCCCCCACCCCCCCACCCCCAAACAUGUCGUCCAAAAAUUAAUAACUGCGAAAGUAGAUUCCAGUGCUUUUAUUGCAAGCCAUUCUUUAUGUUCUUAUUUUUGUGACGCGACAAAUGUUGCUACCGCUAAAGUUAGCGUUAACCUGUUAACACUUUUGCUUCUGUUUUAGCUACGCUUUUUCGAACACUUGCGCACUAUUUUCGUUUUCCCUAAAGUUAGACUUACUCUCGCAAGUAGAAGAGCUAAUGCACAGGUAAUGGGGGGUGGGUGGCUGGGGGGUUAAACUCAGUGCUGUUAUCAGGUGAGACUUUGUGAGAACACCAUGUCGUCUUUUGCUGUUGAUUUUAUACAAAUGUAUUUUGCAUGAGAGAGGAAACCCAACACAGCAAAAAGAAACAAGCGUUAAGGAAGUUACUGAGCGAAUAAAGCUCUAAUCUUGGUAUUUAUUUGUCCCAUUGUCUCCUCUUUUGUUGUUGCUCAGCAAAGCUUACUCAUCCUGAGUGACACACCAACAACAGGCCCUGUGACUAAUGAUGACAAAGCAGGCUGCUAUUUCACCUGUGUAGAAAAAAAAGGAUUCGUUAGACGCCCACGAGAUCCAGAUCAAGGUUUAUCACUCCAAAUUGUAUGGGCAGAAUUGGCGGACAGUAUAUGCAAUAAUAGGGCACAAAGUGCCAUGAGAGCCGUGUGGCAUAGGCAAGGGGCGGAGGCUAAAAGAAGGUCACUGCAUCGCUUCGCACGCUGGUGGGAGGCGUUGAUCUAAGAUGGAGUUCACUGUGGUCGUCAUCCUCCCUCUGCCGCGCCUCCAGGCUGUCCACGUUCAGCCGCACAACAGAGGCAGCCUUUUUCACCCCGAUGUUAAUCCUUUCUGCCUCCCCCGCCUUGAUGUCGCAUCCCCGGCACGCCACCACAAAGAACAAAGUGCUGGCCCGCACUCAUUGAGAGAAUGCUGCAUAAACGGAGAGCCAGAUGAGCGCUCUAUCGCUCGCUCGCUCUCUCGUACGCACGAAGUUAUGUUCGUGAACCCGAGCUGAGAUCCACGUCACUCCGUUGACCCGAGGCUGACGCCCAGCCUCGACUCUGUGCAUUGUUCCCUCUCAUCGCGGCAUGUUGGCUUUGUCCAUCUCGCACAAUGUAGCUCAAAAGAGCAAAGUGAAGCGGACACGUUUUUGUUUUUGCACCCAUUUACUCGUCGGUGGUGACCCUAUUCAGGAUGCAUUGAUCAGUACGCUGGCCGGGGAGGGAUGAGCCCCGCAGGCACUAGUGAGGGGGCCGCCAUUCAGCUGGUCGCCGGGACCGCAGGCGCUGCAUGAACUCAUUGUGCUGAUGCCAUCGGCGUUGGGGGCAUCCUUUUUAAGACCUUUCAAGAGAGGCACUUACAUUGCUAGCAUCCAUUUUGGAGUACUUGCGAGACUUGACGGAGCACAGCUUCAUGACAUUCAGUUGGGACUUGAUUUUAUCACCGAUAUUUUGCAAGUUAAUUGACAUUUAUCACUGCUACUGGUCACUUCAAAAAAUGGUGCAACGAUCACCUGCACUAACUGCACAACUAUCAUAGUAUGGUAUUGCAUCACUGAUCGCUUGCUCUCUGCCUGAUGACUCUGCACAUUGUCGCACAGCUGUCAUUGGGUGGUACUACUGCACAAUGGUGCCCUUCCAUUACGGAAAGUCCUUCGAUGCUUAUAUGUCAUGUCUUUGUUUAUCAUAGUUGUUUGUUAUUGCAAUACUAGUGUUGCCUGUACU